rnacentral:lncRNA from 1 species
UACAGCAACACCUACAUCAUGUUUUCUAACUCUUUUCUGGAUUCCAGCUCUCAGUUCUGAGGUUGACAGAUCCCUGGAUUACAUGAACUGUCAAUUUGUAAGCCUGCAUGCUUGGAGACUAUGGAACUGGUGCAAAUUUCCCCCUCUGCCAUUUAAAUCUCCUACUGAGAAAAAUGAAAUCUGUCUACCAAACAACCUCAAGCCUGCGUUGUAAGGAUACUAUAGGAGGGGAAAAUGUGGAAAACUACUUGGUGUGCGUCUGUAAGGCUUGGGAUUGAGGCUCUUGUGCCUCAAACACAGCCAUAAUUGUAAGUUCUGAGUAUGUAUAUUCUAUUGCUACAUCUUACCACGUGUGAAUUUUGUGUUAAAAAGGGCUUUAAACUUGAUCUUUAUUUUAUUAUGCUAAUUUUUUGUUAAUUCUUUAGUGUCUUUCACACAAAAUGAUUGUUUUUUACUGUCAGCCUUAACCCCAUUUUAACUCAAGUUUUCAUCCAAAGGGAAAAGUUUUAUAUUUUAUGACUUUCUCUCUUCAUUUGUGCAGAGUUAAAUUUUUGUUAUGCAUUUAUUAAUAGUAAUUGCUUCUGGAAACUGAUUGUUUUGUUAGUAAUAUUUUUGUAUAUUUUAAGGUUGGAAAUAUCAUAAUAAAAAGGAAAAGAAAAACA